AUCUCGUGUGGAGGAACUACAAGCAAGACCCAAGCACGAGAUCUUGCAUGCAACGGUUCUUGUGUGAGAGUUUUUUCAGUCCGCCUCAACAACACCUCCUGAGUCAAAAUGAUUUUUUGUUGCAGAUUACAAGGUCGGCCGUAGCGCAGGUUUUGGGAGACUCAAAGGCCCCGAAGAAAGCUGACGAAGGAAUCACUCAGCUCCUUGACGAAGAGCCAAGGGCGCGGGACUCCUGCAGGGUACCAAGACGUCUGUGUUCCAUGUAAAAGAAGAAGGGCGUGAGCUAAGGGCAUGGGGCGUUGAUUACGUCAUUUGUGACGCUGAUUGGCUGGCGAUGGAUACCGUAAGAGCUGAUUGGUGGAUUCCAUUGGCCUCAAUCUCCUGACCAUUCAGCGACUGUGACGUAGAAAGGUCGUAGCCAAUCAGCGACUGAGUUCGACUCCAGCCAACCAAUAGGGGCGCGACUUUGAAAAUUCUAGCCAAUCACCGACUUUUUAGAACUUCAAAAGAGA